rnacentral:rRNA from 1 species
GACGAACCGUGCGAACGUUAUUCGGAAUCACUGGGCUUAAAGGGCGCGUAGGCGGGCUCACAAGUCAGGGGUGAAAGCCCACGGCCCAACCGUGGAAGUGCCUUUGAUACUGUGGGCCUCGAGGGGGGUAGGGGCGUGCGGAACUCAGGGUGGAGCGGUGAAAUGCGUAGAUAUCCUGAGGAACACCGGUGGCGAAAGCGGCGCGCUGGACCCCUUCUGACGCUGAGGCGCGAAAGCCAGGGGAGCAAACGGG